rnacentral:rRNA from 1 species
GACGAACGCUGGCGGCGUGCUUAACACAUGCAAGUCGAACGGAAAGGCCCUGCUUUUGUGGGGUGCUCGAGUGGCGAACGGGUGAGUAACACGUGAGUAACCUGCCCUUGACUUUGGGAUAACUUCAGGAAACUGGGGCUAAUACCGGAUAGGAGCUCCUGCUGCAUGGUGGGGGUUGGAAAGUUUCGGCGGUUGGGGAUGGACUCGCGGCUUAUCAGCUUGUUGGUGGGGUAGUGGCUUACCAAGGCUUUGACGGGUAGCCGGCCUGAGAGGGUGACCGGCCACAUUGGGACUGAGAUACGGCCCAGACUCAUACGGGAGGCAGCAGGGGGGAAUAUUGCACAAUGGGCGGAAGCCUGAUGCAGCAACGCCGCGUGCGGGAUGACGGCCUUCGGGUUGUAAACCGCUUUCGCCUGUGACGAAGCGUGAGUGACGGUAAUGGGUAAAGAAGCACCGGCUAACUACGU